rnacentral:rRNA from 1 species
AAGGGCACCACAAGAACGCGUGGAGCAUGUGGCUUAAUUUGACUCAACGCGGGAAAUCUUACCGGGUCCGGACACACUGAGGAUUGACAGGCAAUAUUAAUAUUUCACAAGUUACUUCGGUAUCUUUUGUCGAUUUAUUAUGUUAAAUAUGCUAGUCCUUUCAUGAUUAUGUGAUAGGUGGUGCAUGGCCGUUCUUAGUUCGUGGAGUGAUCUGUCUGCUUAAUUGCGUUUCACUAAGGAUCUAUUUAUUAACGUGUGUUGCGGCACUUUGACCCCUCAUUUUUAUUAAUGUGCGCGUGUCUUAGUUUGCUUAGCUCACACAAUUAGAUCCUGAAAGCAACGAACGUGACCGCAACCUCUUGUUGCCUUUAUACCAAACAUGUUGGUUUUAAAAAUUCUUUUUUAUACCUUCGUGCAAAAAGGCUUUUUAAACUAGAGGGACCGCUGUUAUCUUCUUAAACCAGAGGAAGAUUGCGGCAAUAACAGGUCUGUGAUGCCCUUAGAUGUUCCGGGCUCCACACGUGCUACAAUGAUUAUUGCAGUGAGCAUCUCAUUUUUUACACACCGCAUUCGCGAGUCCAUUUAUUCAUCUUCGGGUGCUUUAAAUGUGUAUCUCUGCGAGCGGUAAAGCCUGCUUCGAGAGUAAGUGGGUAAUCAAUUAGAAGUAAUGAUUUCCUUUUUUUAUAGCACACAUAUAUACAGCAUUUAUGCCCGGGUUGGCCUUGUUGUCAGCUUCUGUGUGUAUAGAUGUAUAUCUCAAUUAGAUUCAUUAUGUCUCUUUUUAGAUUCUGUAUGUGCAAUUGUUAAUUCAUGGUGGGGACAGACCAUUGUUAAUUGUUGGUCUCGGUCUUAACUAGGAAUGCCUUGUACGGGUCUUUGGUUCAACAAACCACCCGGAAUACGUCCCUGCCCUUUGUACACACCGCCCGUCGCUCUUACCGAUGGACUUCUCUGUGAGUUUGAGGGACUGGGUAUUUUUGCCUAUGGAAACUUAAACGAACAGUGUGGUCUAAAGGAAAGAGAAGUCGUAACAAGGCAUCGGUAGGUGAACCUGCAGAAGGAUCA